AGCUUAGUCUUCAUUCUUUUUGUCUUAAGUUCUCUUGAAGGGAAGUCAGAGAGUCAUAGACCUGUUUUAGAAAGAUGAUUGACAUCCACAUAAAGGAUGGUUUGUAACAGAGAGACCAGAUAAGAUGCUGUCUUUAUCGUCCAUAUGUUGUCAGAGAGGUUUCUCAAAGGACAAUAUCCAAGGAUAAGUUUGUAUGAGAGAAGAUUGACUCCCUUGCUCUCAACUGCAAAUACUGUUACAAAAAAUGUAAGCAGUAUUUAGGUAAGCAGCAGCAUUUCGUGUGACACCCUAACUUGUGUUGCUUAUUGUUUCUACUUUUGCACUGGCUUUCCCAGCUGUAUUGUAGGACCCAUGGAGAGGUAUCUUCAUCACCUCCCCGUAUACCUCCAUCACUGUAUAUGGUGAUCUGAAAUAUACGCUUAAUAGAGAUCUGUUCCUGAUAAUAAAAUGCAAGUUUAUAAUUUUUGUUUAUUUUAAAAGAUCAAUUUUGUCUUAAUGGGAGUUACUGAUUUAUUCCUCAGUCUUUGCUGCAGUUGCUCAUGUAAUCCGUUAAGCCUUUUAGCUAAAUCCUCAGUUAUUAAUAGAAAUAUGAUUUAAAUCUGGAUUACUAUGCAGCAAUUAGAUUUGGCAGUUUGUUGAUAAAAUUAGAAAGACACAAAACCAGAAGAAACUCAAGCUUUGACACUCAAGCAGGUGUUUGUGCAGAGUAUAUAACUGUUUA
rnacentral:lncRNA from 1 species